rnacentral:rRNA from 1 species
UAACGAGUCUGCUUGCAGACGAAGUGAGUGAUACCCUGCUUCCAGGAAAAGCCACUAAGCUUCAGCUACACACGACCGUACCGCAAACCGACACUGGUGCGCGAGAUGAGUAUUCUAAGGCGCUUGAGAGAACUCAGGAGAAGGAACUCGGCAAAUUGAUACCGUAACUUCGGGAGAAGGUAUGCCGCAAGUAGGUGAACUUGAACAAAGGGAGCCCAAAGCGGUUGCAAAAAAUCGGUGGCUGCGACUGUUUAAUAAAAACACAGCACUCUGCAAACACGAAAGUGGACGUAUAGGGUGUGACGCCUGCCCGGUGCUGGAAGAUUAAAUGAUGGGGUGCUAGCUCUUGAUUGAAGUCCCAGUAAACGGCGGCCGUAACUAUAACGGUCCUAAGGUAGC